AGUUGAAGUUACAAAGAUACGUUUAAGAGGUUUAAGAGUUUAAGAUGAAAAUACUUUUGUGUGCAUUUGUCCUGUUUCUGGUCCUAAGUGUGACCAUUGAAGCCAGAAAAUUGUCUAAAAAACAACCACAUAAAGGCCGUAACAAUUGCGACAGUAUAGGAAGUGGAGGACUGCCAGUUCCAGGACUCGAUAUAGGCCUCAUUACCCAGGUAAAGGAUCAAUUUUGUUGCCAUGCAUGUGAAUUCCUCAACAAUGAAGGUAUACUCCCUGAAUUCAUUACUCCAAUUGUUCUGGCUAUUUGUGGAUGUUACCAUUGAAUAAACAAUGUAAAUGAGAAAAAUAAUAAAAUAAUAGUUUUAUAUUUAUGUAAAUUCUUAAUUUGGAAUAGAUCAUUGUAUUUCCAUUAA